rnacentral:rRNA from 1 species
UAAAAACCCCGACUUCGGAAGGGGUGUAUUUAUUAGAUACAAAACCAAUGCCCUUCGGGGCUCUUUGGUGAUUCAUGAUAACUAUACGAAUCGCACGGCCUUGCGCCGGCGAUGGUUCAUUCAAAUUUCUUCCCUAUCAACUUUCGAUGUUUGGGUAUUGGCCAAACAUGGUUGCAACGGGUAACGGAGGGUUAGGGCUCGACCCCGGAGAAGGAGCCUGAGAAACGGCUACUACAUCCAAGGAAGGCAGCAGGCGCGCAAAUUACCCAAUCCCGACUCGGGGAGGUAGUGACAAUAAAUACUGAUACAGGGCCCUUUCGGGCCUUGUAAUUGGAAUGAGUACAAUUUGAAUCCCUUAACGAGGAACAAUUGGAGGGCAAGUCUGGUGCCAGCAGCCGCGGUAAUUCCAGCUCCAAUAGCGUAUAUUAAAGUUGUUGUGGUUAAAAAGCUCGUAGUUGAACCUUGGGCCUGGCUGGCCGGUCCGCCUCACCGCGUGCACUGGUCCGGCCGGGCCUUUCCCUCUGUGGAACCCCAUACCCUUCACUGGGCGUGGCGGGGAAACAGGACAUUUACUUU